rnacentral:rRNA from 1 species
GAUGAACGCUAGCGGCAGGCUUAAUACAUGCAAGUCAAGGGGGUAGCAAUACAACCGGCGCACGGGUGAGUAACACGUACACAACAUACCAUAUACUGAGGUAUAGCUUCGGGAAACUGAAGGUAAUCCCUCAUAGUAUUGUGAAAGGGCAUCUUUUUACAAUUAAAGUUUCGACGGUAUAUGAUUGGUGUGCGUUUGAUUAGCUAGUUGGUAGGGUAACGGCCUACCAGGGCAACGAUCAAUAGCUGGCGUGAGAGCGCGACCAGCCACACUGGAACUGAGACACGGUCCAGACUCCUACGGGAGGCAGCAGUAGGGAAUAUUGGACAAUGGGCGAAAGCCUGAUCCAGCCAUGCCGCGUGAUAGAUGAAGGCCCUCUGGGUUGUAAAUAUCUUUUAUCUGGGAAGAAACACUUCUAUUCUUAGAAGCUUGACGGUACCAGAGGAAUAAGCACCGGCUAACUCCGUG